rnacentral:rRNA from 1 species
AUGCAAGGCGCUGUCUUAGCCUUGCCUUCCCAGGAUCGCUCCCACACCUGUCACGUUCGUGAUCGGCCUCCUCAACUGUGUAUCAAUCGAAAGGCAGGGCGGCAGAGCCCCCAACCGACGGGAGUAGUUACGUCCAGUAUGUCCCCCCUCGAUUCCCGAUAUGCUAUGAUACCCCAGGGUGGGUAG